rnacentral:rRNA from 1 species
AUUGAACGCUGGCGGCAGGCUUAACACAUGUCAGUCGAGCGAGCGGCGGACGGGUGAGUAAUGUCUGGGAAACUGCCUGAUGGAGGGGGACAACUACUGGAAACGGUAGCUAAUACCGCAUCCCAUCAGAUGUGCCUAGAUGGGCUUAGCUAGUAGGUGGGGUAAUGGCUCACCUGGGCGACGAUCCCUAGCUGGUCUGAGAGGAUGACCAGCCGGCCAGGAACUGGGACGCGGUCCAGACUCCUACGGGAGUCAGGAGGAGGGAUAUGUGGACAAUGGGAGCAAGCCUGGUGCAGCCAUGCCGCGGGUGUUAAGAAGCCUUGCAGGUUAUGGAGCUGGUUCAGCUAGGGGGCGUUACGCGCAGAAGGAGCACCGGCUAAGUCCAUGCCAGCAGCCGCGGUAAUAC